rnacentral:lncRNA from 1 species
UUCCUGCAACGGAUACCGCGUGGCUCCUCCACCCUCUGGCAAGUUGCGACAACGGACGCCGCUUCACCUUCCGCAGCAGACUCCAUGUGGCAGAUCACAGUGAGAGCCAUGACUCCACUCCCCUACUCCUCAUAACAAACUCCACCUGGCUCCGAACGGCCCGCUGUCAGACGGUUACGAAUGUCGCUAUCAUCUAUUGCACCCUCCACCUAUAAAAAGGGGACCCCAGAUACGU